UGGCUCAGUGGUUAAGAGCACUGGCUGCUCUUCCAGAGGACCUGGGUUUGAUUCCCAG
rfam:Cricetulus griseus cell line CHO-K1, whole genome shotgun sequence.